GUCUUGGUGGCUCAGUUGGUUAGAGCGUUGGUCUCAUAUCUUAUAUGUGACCCAACUAAACAUUGGGAUAUCCAAAGGUCGUGAGUUCGAGUCUCACCCAGGACA